rnacentral:rRNA from 1 species
GAUGAACGCUGGCGGCGUGCUUAACACAUGCAAGUCGAGCGAGAAGUUUUGAAAAGAUUCUUCGGAUGAAAUUUAAAAUGGAAAGCGGCGGACGGGUGAGUAACGCGUAGGCAACCUACCCCAUACAAAGGGAUAGCAAUUGGAAACGAAUAUUAAUACCUUAUGAAACUUAACUAGUGCAUGCUAGGUAGGUCAAAGAUUUAUCGGUAUGGGAUGGGCCUGCGUCUGAUUAGCUAGUUGGUGAGGUAACGGCUCACCAAGGCGACGAUCAGUAGCCGACCUGAGAGGGUGAACGGCCACAUUGGAACUGAGACACGGUCCAAACUCCUACGGGAGGCAGCAGUGGGGAAUAUUGCACAAUGGGGGAAACCCUGAUGCAGCAACGCCGCGUGAACGAUGAAGGCCUUUGGGUCGUAAAGUUCUGUUCUAGGUGAUGAAAACUGACAGUAACCUAGGAGAAAGCCCCGGCUAACUCCGUG